rnacentral:rRNA from 1 species
GACGAACGCUGGCGGCGUGCUUAACACAUGCAAGUCGAACGGGCCUUGUCCCCUUUUUUUUGGGGGUUGGGUUAGUGGCGAACGGGUGAGUAACACGUGAGUAACCUGCCCCUCACUUCUGGAUAACCGCUUGAAAGGGUGUCUAAUACGGGGUUUUCUUGCCUGCUCUCAUGGGUGGGUUUGGGACGAUUCGACCGUUUUUUGUUGUUUUGUUGGGGGUUGGUCUCGCGGCCUAUCAGCUUGCGGGUGGGGUGGGUGCCUGCCAAUGGUUUGACGGGUAGACGGUCUGAGAGGGUGGGCGGUCACACGGGGACUGAGACACGGCCCAGACUCAUACGGGAGGCAGCAGUGGGGAAUAUUGCAAAAGGGGCGAAAGCCUGAUGGGGCGACGCCGCGUGAGGGAUGGAGGCCUGCGGGGUGUGAACCUCUUUCGAGAGUGAAGAAGGUGCUGCUCUUUGUGGUGGGGUUGACGGUAGCUGGGUUAAUGAAGCGCCGGCUAACUACGUG